rnacentral:rRNA from 1 species
GACGAACGCUGGCGGCGUGCUUAACACAUGCAAGUCGAACGGAAAGGCCCUGCUUUUGUGGGGUGCUCGAGUGGCGAACGGGUGAGUAACACGUGAGUAACCUGCCCUUGACUUUGGGAUAACUUCAGGAAACUGGGGCUAAUACCGGAUAGGAGCUCCUGCUGCAGGGUGGGGGUUGGAAAGUUUCGGCGGUUGGGGAUGGACUCGCGGUUUAUCAGCUUGUUGGUGGGGUAGUGGCUUACCAAGGCUUUGACGGGUAGCCGGCCUGAGAGGGUGACCGGCCACAUUGGGACUGAGAUACGGCCCAGACUCCUACGGGAGGCAGCAGUGGGGAAUAUUGCACAAUGGGCGGAAGCCUGAUGCAGCAACGCCGCGUGCGGGAUGACGGCCUUCGGGUUGUAAACCGCUUUCGCCUGUGACGAAGCGUGAGUGACGGUAAUGGGUAAAGAAGCACCGGCUAACUACGUG